rnacentral:rRNA from 1 species
CGCCAGACUCCUACGGGAGGCAGCAGUGGGGAAUAUUGCACAAUGGGGGAAACCCUGAUGCAGCGACGCCGCGUGAGUGAAGAAGUAAUUCGUUAUGUAAAGCUCUCUCAGCAGGGAAGAAAAUGACGGUACCUGAGUAAGAAGCCCCGGCUAACUACGUGCCAGCAGCCGCGGUAAUACGUAGGGGGCAAGCGUUAUCCGGAUUUACUGGGUGUAAAGGGAGCGUAGACGGCAGUGCAAGUCUGGAGUGAAUGGCGGGGGCUCAACCCCCGGACUGCUCUGGAAACUGUACGGCUGGAGUGCAGGAGAGGUAAGUGGAAUUCCUAGUGUAGCGGUGAAAUGCGUAGAUAUUAGGAGGAACACCAGUGGCGAAGGCGGCCUACUGGACUGUAACUGACGUUGAGGCUCGAAAGCGUGGGGAGCAAACAGGAUUAGAUACCCGAGUAC